GACGAACGCUGGCGGCGUGCCUAAUACAUGCAAGUCGAACGCUGAAGGAGGAGCUUGCUUCUCUGGAUGAGUUGCGAACGGGUGAGUAACGCGUAGGUAACCUGCCUGGUAGCGGGGGAUAACUAUUGGAAACGAUAGCUAAUACCGCAUAAUAGUAGAUGUUGCAUGACAUUUGCUUAAAAGGUGCAAUUGCAUCACUACCAGAUGGACCUGCGUUGGAUUAGCUAGUUGGUGAGGUAACGGCUCACCAAGGCAACGAUACAUAGCCGACCUGAGAGGGUGGUCGGCCACACUGGGACUGAGACACGGCCCAGACGGCUACGGGAGGCAGCAGUAGGGAAACGGCGGCAAUGGACGGAAGUCUGACCGAGCAGCGCCGAGUGAGGGAAGAAGGUUGUCGGAUCGUAAAGCUCGGUUGUAAGAGAAGAACGAGUGUGAGAGUGGAAAGUUCACACUGUGACGGUAACUGACCAGAAAGGGACGGCUAACUACGUG
rnacentral:rRNA from 1 species